UGGGGAAUAUUGGACAAUGGGGGGAACCCUGAUCCAGCCAUGCCGCGUGUGUGAAGAAGGCCUUAUGGUUGUAAAGCACUUUAAGCGAGGAGGAGGCUACUCUAGUUAAUACCUAGGGAUAGUGGACGUUACUCGCAGAAUAAGCACCGGCUAACUCUGUGCCAGCAGCCGCGGUAAUACAGAGGGUGCGAGCGUUAAUCGGAUUUACUGGGCGUAAAGCGUGCGUAGGCGGCUUAUUAAGUCGGAUGUGAAAUCCCCGAGCUUAACUUGGGAAUUGCAUUCGAUACUGGUGAGCUAGAGUAUGGGAGAGGAUGGUAGAAUUCCAGGUGUAGCGGUGAAAUGCGUAGAGAUCUGGAGGAAUACCGAUGGCGAAGGCAGCCAUCUGGCCUAAUACUGACGCUGAGGUACGAAAGCAUGGGGAGCAAACAGGAUUAGAUACCCUGGUAGUCCAUGCCGUAAACGAUGUCUACUAGCCGUUGGGGCCUUUGAGGCUUUAGUGGCGCAGCUAACGCGAUAAGUAGACCGCCUGGGGAGUACGGUCGCAAGACUA
rnacentral:rRNA from 1 species